rnacentral:rRNA from 1 species
UCCAGAGGUCUCAAGCGUUGUUCGGAUUCAUUGGGCGUAAAGGGUGCGUAGGUGGCGCCGUAAGUCUGGUGUGAAAUUUCGGAGCUUAACUCCGAAACUGCAUUCGAUACUGCGGUGCUUGAGGACUGGAGAGGAGACUGGAAUUCAUGGUGUAGCAGUGAAAUGCGUAGAGAUCAUGAGGAAGACCAGUGGCGAAGGCGGGUCUCUGGACAGUUCCUGACACUGAGGCACGAAGGCCAGGGGAGCAAACGGG